rnacentral:rRNA from 1 species
CCUGUGGCUGGGGGUGAAAGGCCAAUCAAACCGGGAGAUAGCUGGUUCUCCCCGAAAGCUAUUUAGGUAGCGCCUCGUGAAUUCAUCUCCGGGGGUAGAGCACUGUUUCGGCUAGGGGGCCAUCCCGGCUUACCAACCCGAUGCAAACUGCGAAUACCGGAGAAUGUUAUCACGGGAGACACACGGCGGGUGCUAACGUCCGUCGUGAAGAGGGAAACAACCCAGACCGCCAGCUAAGGUCCCAAAGUCAUGGUUAAGUGGGAAACGAUGUGGGAAGGCCCAGACAGCCAGGAUGUUGGCUUAGAAGCAGCCAUCAUUUAAAGAAAGCGUAAUAGCUCACUGGUCGAGUCGGCCUGCGCGGAAGAUGUAACGGGGCUAAACCAUGCACCGAAGCUGCGGCAGCGAACGUAUCACCCAAGACAACUUUACGGAGUUGACGAUUGACGGAGCGAAGCGACGUCAAAGCGUUCAUUAAAGUCGAGUUGGCUUAGGGAUACGUUCGUUGGGUAGGGGAGCGUUCUGUAAGCCUGUGAAGGUGUGUCGUGAGGCAUGCUGGAGGUAUCAGAAGUGCGAAUGCUGACAUAAGUAACGAUAAAGCGGGUGAAAAGCCCGCUCGCCGGAAGACCAAGGGUUCCUGUCCAACGUUAAUCGGGGCAGGGUGAGUCGACCCCUAAGGCGAGGCCGAAAGGCGUAGUCGAUGGGAAACGGGUUAAUAUUCCCGUACUUGGUGUUACUGCGAAGGGGGGACGGAGAAGGCUAUGUUGGCCGGGCGACGGUUGUCCCGGUUUAAGCGUGUAGGUGUGUGUUCCAGGUAAAUCCGGUUCACUUUAACACUGAGGCGUGACGACGAGGCACUACGGUGCUGAAGCAACAAAUGCCCUGCUUCCAGGAAAAGCCUCUAAGCAUCAGGUAACAUCAAAUCGUACCCCAAACCGACACAGGUGGUCAGGUAGAGAAUACCAAGGCGCUUGAGAGAACUCGGGUGAAGGAACUAGGCAAAAUGGUGCCGUAACUUCGGGAGAAGGCACGCUGACACGUAGGUGAAGUGAUUUACUCAUGGAGCUGAAGUCAGUCGAAGAUACCAGCUGGCUGCAACUGUUUAUUAAAAACACAGCACUGUGCAAACACGAAAGUGGACGUAUACGGUGUGACGCCUGCCCGGUGCCGGAAGGUUAAUUGAUGGGGUCAGCGCAAGCGAAGCUCCUGAUCGAAGCCCCGGUAAACGGCGGCCGUAACUAUAACGGUCCUAAGGUAGCGAAAUUCCUUGUCGGGUAAGUUCCGACCUGCACGAAUGGCGUAAUGAUGGCCAGGCUGUCUCCACCCGAGACUCAGUGAAAUUGAACUCGCUGUGAAGAUGCAGUGUACCCGCGGCAAGACGGAAAGACCCCGUGAACCUUUACUAUAGCUUGACACUGAACAUUGAGCCUUGAUGUGUAGGAUAGGUGGGAGGCUUUGAAGUGUGGACGCCAGUCUGCAUGGAGCCGACCUUGAAAUACCACCCUUUAAUGUUUGAUGUUCUAACGUGGACCCGUAAUCCGGGUUGCGGACAGUGUCUGGUGGGUAGUUUGACUGGGGCGGUCUCCUCCUAAAGAGUAACGGAGGAGCACGAAGGUUGGCUAAUCCUGGUCGGACAUCAGGAGGUUAGUGCAAUGGCAUAAGCCAGCUUGACUGCGAGCGUGACGGCGCGAGCAGGUGCGAAAG